rnacentral:tRNA from 1 species
GACACUUUGGCCGAGUGGUUAUGGCGGUGGCCUCGAAAGCCAUUUCUCUUGGGAUCGCAGGUUCAAAUCCUGCAGGUGUCG